rnacentral:rRNA from 1 species
GAUGAACGCUAGCGGCAGGCUUAAUACAUGCAAGUCGUGGGGCAGCAUGAGUGUAGCAAUACAUUUGAUGGCGACCGGCAAACGGGUGCGGAACACGUACACAACCUUCCUAUAAGUGGGGAAUAGCCCAGAGAAAUUUGGAUUAAUACCCCGUAACAUAACGAUGUGGCAUCACAUUGUUAUUAUAGCUUCGGCGCUUAUUGAUGGGUGUGCGGCUGAUUAGAUAGUUGGCGGGGUAACGGCCCACCAAGUCUACGAUCAGUAGCUGAUGUGAGAGCAUGAUCAGCCACACGGGCACUGAGACACGGGCCCGACUCCUACGGGAGGCAGCAGUAAGGAAUAUUGGUCAAUGGACGCAAGUCUGAACCAGCCAUGCCGCGUGAAGGAUUAAGGUCCUCUGGAUUGUAAACUUCUUUUAUCUGGGACGAAAAAAGGCUUUUCUAAGUCACUUGACGGUACCAGAUGAAUAAGCACCGGCUAACUCCGUGCCAGCCGCCGCAGUAA